AGAGUUUGAUCCUGGCUCAGGACGAACGCUGGCGGCGUGCUUAACACAUGCAAGUCGAACGGAAAGGCCCUUCGGGGUACUCGAGUGGCGAACGGGUGAGUAACACGUGGGUGAUCUGCCCUGCACUCUGGGAUAAGCCUGGGAAACUGGGUCUAAUACCGGAUAGGACCACACACUUCAUGGUGAGUGGUGCAAAGCUUUUGCGGUGUGGGAUGAGCCCGCGGCCUAUCAGCUUGUUGGUGGGGUAAUGGCCCACCAAGGCGACGACGGGUAGCCGGCCUGAGAGGGUGACCGGCCACACUGGGACUGAGAUACGGCCCAGACUCCUACGGGAGGCAGCAGUGGGGAAUAUUGCACAAUGGGCGCAAGCCUGAUGCAGCGACGCCGCGUGAGGGAUGACGGCCUUCGGGUUGUAAACCUCUUUCAGUAGGGACGAAGCGAAAGUGACGGUACCUACAGAAGAAGGACCGGCCAACUACGUGCCAGCAGCCGCGGUAAUACGUAGGGUCCGAGCGUUGUCCGGAAUUACUGGGCGUAAAGAGCUCGUAGGUGGUUUGUCGCGUUGUUCGUGAAAACUCACAGCUUAACUGUGGGCGUGCGGGCGAUACGGGCAGACUAGAGUACUGCAGGGGAGACUGGAAUUCCUGGUGUAGCGGUGGAAUGCGCAGAUAUCAGGAGGAACACCGGUGGCGAAGGCGGGUCUCUGGGCAGUAACUGACGCUGAGGAGCGAAAGCGUGGGUAGCGAACAGGAUUAGAUACCCUGGUAGUCCACGCCGUAAACGG
rnacentral:rRNA from 1 species